GUAGGAAAUUUUGUCAAGUUUGAGUUGUGAUCACGAAAAACACUAUCUAAAGUGAAUGGGAUCAUUGAAUUUUAUGAGUGAGAUAGUGACAAAGGAAAAAUAUAAUUAAUACACAGAUAAAACAUAGUUUAUCAUGUACCAUAUUGUGGGUGCAUGGGUGGGUCCUUAUGAUAGUGUAUAAUUUUGAAAUCUGACUAUCUUACUAUAUAAUCUUGUGGACUUGGUCUCCAGCAACUUCUACACCAGUCUACUAGGAAUAAAUAUGUGUUCAAUAAUGGUGAUUACAUAUGCCUAAUCUAUGAGUUUUACCACAAAAUGGCACUAACUGCGAAACGUUAAGAAAGCUAAUGUAGGUUUCUCUCCAACACUAGAAAACAUAAGAUUAAUUAAGUCAGAAAAUAUUUUUUUAGUUUUUUCAAAGAUGAGGAAAUCCAAAACGAAAUAACUUAAAGCUGCAAAACAAAAAAAAAGAAUAUAGAGAAUAAGAACAAUUCUCUUUUGGACAUCUUCACAAAAGCUAAAGAGAAAUUUUUUAACUUUUUGAUUUAAAACCACAUACUUUACUUUUUGAAAGAAAAAAUAACCUAUCUUUCUAUGGCAAGAACAAACCGUAGGUCUCACAUAAUCUAGAGAUUUUACAAAACAUUCUCUUUACUUCGUAUCUUAUCUCCAUUAAUCAUCUAAUAAUAUCUAAUUAAACCCACAAUGAUUCGUUGGCAUAGUUGCAUAACCGAUAUUUAGUCUAGAUUUACCUCUAAACCAAACCUAAACCGGAAACUAGAAAUUUCGGGGUUCUUUUUAUAAAAGAGAAUAAAAGAAGAAAGAACAUGCCUGGAGAGGAGUGAUCUUAGAGGAGGAGAAGAACUGAUCGGCGGUGAUGAAUUCUUGGUUGAGUUUAGGACAAACAUUAGUAUCAGCCAAACAAGCCCUUAGCCUUCCCCAGUUCUUGGAAUCCACAACGUUCUCCUUAAGCCAAUUCGAGAACCCUUCAAGCCUAUACUCUUUAUAACCUCUACCCGGAACCCGAUACGAUCCAUCGGGCCGGGUCACGACGAAUGCAAAUAUAAGAACCACCAGCAAAAGUCCGAUCAAUAUCGCCAUACAGCACAAGCGCCGAUGAAGCCUGUGGCGGAGACGACGAGGAUGAGAACGCCGAGGACGACAACGGGCCAACGGAGGAGAUUGACACACUCGUUGUCUGGCUUUGAAGCUAGCCAUAUACCUGACGCCGUUAUUGGUAUGGAACAGAGUAACGCUAGUAAGUUGAGUAUCGCCGUUAAGUUAUUCGCUAACGCCAUUAAAUUUUCUCUCUCUCUCUCUCUUUGUUCUUGAAGAUUCGUGCUUUUUAUGGAAAGAAAAUGAAAUAAUGAGAGUGAGAGGAGUGUCUCUGUUUUUGUCUUAAUGACUUAUGAGGUCGGUGGUUAGAGAUGAUGGGAUGUGUGAAACCAGUUACUGCUAUUUACAGAAAACGAUGUUCGGUUUGGUCCGGUCCGGUUAA